AUCCAACUGAUGAGUCCCACCUAGGGCGAAAAGCGCGUUCUGGAU
rfam:Schistosoma curassoni strain Dakar, Senegal genome assembly, scaffold: SCTD_scaffold0011893